UGGGACAUUUUUGAUGCGCCUAGCCCACUGUAGUAAUACAUGUGAGUGCUGGUGUGCGUCUCCCAUCCAUUUUAGUUGUCGGUACUACCCUUCAUUGGGCCGGUACGUCUUGUUUAUGACUAAAUCUUUUACUUUGAAAAAAUUAGAGUGUUUAAAGCAGGCUUGUGCCUAUUUGUGAAUACAUUAGCAUGGAAUAAUAAUUUAGGACUUCGGUUCUAUUUUGUUGGUUUCUGGGACUGAAGUAAUGAUUGAUAGGGAUAGUUGGGGGUGCUAGUAUUCAGUGGCCAGAGGUGAAAUUCUUGGAUUCACUGAAGACUAACUUUUGCGAAAGCAUU
rnacentral:rRNA from 1 species